CAACCUUUUUAACAUGUUUCUUUGUAUCUUAUUUGUCACAGUUUUUAUUUCAAUACAAAGAUUAUCUGGUAGAACAGUUAGAUUUCUAUACACUUCUGUGAUUGUAGACGAUGCAGCGUGUGAACAGGACUUUUAUUUUGGAGUGACGACAUGACGUCAUAAGACGGCGCCGCGCUCCUGCAUCUGCUGAAGAAAGGUUUGUUUUAAGAAUUUAAGCCGUUUUAAUCGAUAGGAACAGUACAAUGAUUUAUAGUUGUUACAGUUUUUUAAAGCGAUGUGAAAUUAAUUUAUUUACUAUCUAAUGUAACAUUGUGAUGAUUUAUCAUUAAUUAAAAUACCAAGUGUAGAUAAUAAAUGCCUUAAUAUGAAGUGUUUAUUAAUUUGCAGCGUUAGUUUUUAGUGUUUUUUUAACAGGUCAUUGAAGACCAUUAACUGUUAUUCUCUUCUUAAAGAUGGAGUUCAUUAAAGAGGAGACUGAAGAUAUGAAGAUAAUUAUUAAAGAUGAAACUGAAGACAUGAAGAUUGAAGAUAUUGAGGAACAAACAGGUUGGUUUAGGUCCGCCUGUCACGUCAUUGCCUGCUGGGAUGCGAGUUUCCCUCCAACGAUGGGGAAAAACAUAUCUUGAUCGCAUUAUGCAAGUCAAUCCAUGUUCAUUUUGCCCACACACAAGUGCAGCACAGCAAAAAUAGACUCGGUACAUAAACGAUCGCUGCACUGAUGGACCAAAGAGCGCGCAUUUCGACAUUUGCAGUAAAAACUUGAAAUAUAAAUUCUCAGAAAAUGCCUUUAAUACCAAUAUAUUGAAACGUCUGUUUAUAUGCUCCAUUAAUAAAGGAGUCCAGACAUUGGAAAAAUAUCAGUCCACAUGCGUUUUAUAUUUAAUAUUAGGGAAAUAGACAUGCAUGCAUGCGUGACACAAAAAAUCUUUAACUUUUAGGUAGCAAAAUAUUUUUUAGUAAUUCUGUCAAUUACGCAUACAAGGUUAUUACAUUGUCUGCUAUAUAUUUGCUUCUUAUUUAUUAAAUACGGGCAAUUGAUUAAUAAAACAUUGAUCAAAAUUAAGAUACAAUUUAUACAAAACGAAUAUCUUUUAAAAAGAGUUUUCUAUAAAACAAAACUUAAUGAAGUCGUCAAAAUCAUGUUUUACCAAAAACAGCGCCGUUGCUAGGAGGGCGCCAGCGCCUCUGCCUUUCAGCGCUGUAGCAAAUUAGCUCAAAAUAAAUAUGAAUAAUUAAUCAUAACUAGUUAUAAUUAAUUAUUAAUAUUUUAAU